GGAAAGACGAAAUGACGGGAUUAAAGGAGUUAUUGAGAACGGCCUCGAGAAGAUUUGAACAACAUGGGAUUGGUAUUGGUAGUGGGGAUGGGUCAAGAGUUUGUGGGUGAUCCUAAAGCAACGGGUGGGAACGAUUUGGGCUUUAAUGAGUUAGCUUUGCAGGGUUCAAGUAUUGUUGAUAGCCCGAAGAUCAAUAGUCCAAAUAAUAUUGAGAGCCCAAAACUCAACAAAGUUUUAUCCCACCUAUCAGAUUCAGAGAGUCAAAGGGAUCGUUUUGCAGAAGUCGAAUUAGAGGAGGAUUUUCAUCGUUUUAGAAAAAAUAAAAAAUAAAGAAGGUGCUGAACAAACGAAUCUGAUCUAUGUGAGAGAUCCAGGACUCAGGGCUCACUUCAAAGAAGAAACAAAAGAAGGACAGAGGAGCAAAGUAAUCGAAAGGAAAGGGGGAUUAUUUGUCGCUGUCAGAUUCUGACAUUAGUAACAGAAGGAAAGUUAUUCUCAAAGAAGCAAAGAAGACUUGGGAGGUGGGGAAAAGGCUGGGAUUCAGUGUGCAAGGUGAUGAAGAGUUGAUUAUUGAAGAGCUAAUUAGGAUUGAAGGAAAGCAAUAGGAGGGUUUCAAAUGCAGUGAGCUGGUGUUUUGCGAUUCUGCUGCAUUUUGGAGACCUCCUCCUCUUAGAUGGUUAAAGUUUAACGUGUGCGGAAUGGCAAAAGAAGGUAAAGCAAGAUGUGGUGGGGUAUUGCGAGAUAUGAAGGGUAUUGCCAGAGCAUUAUUUUCGGGUUCGGUGACUGCUUAUGUUGCGGAUGUGGCUGAGGCCAGUGCGGUAAAGGCUCUAGAUGUUUUCGUAACUAUGAAUUGGGAAAUUUAUGAUUCCUUAUUUAUCGAAAUUGGUUCUUUGGUGGCGUUAUCUUGGUGUGUUAACAAGGCAAUGAGACCUUGAUCUCUUCAAGCAAUGUUUGCUGACAUCGAUAGAGACUUGUUAAAGGCUGGAAAAGUAGUUUUCUCGGUGGUUGAUAGAAAAGGUAAUGAAAUGGCUGCUUCAUUGGUGAUUGCUGGCUUUAAUAGGGAGAAUAUGUUUAAAGUUUGGUGGUGAGAUUUCAGUAUUGUUGUUUUUUGUUGUUGUAAUGUUGGGUUGCGAUUGUUACGCUGCUGAAAUUCUAAAUUUUGUUUGCUGUUCUGUUUGUCUUUUGAUAA